GCUUGGUCAAGAGAGGCGAAUGCGCAGAGACCUAGUUUGUUGGGAUGCCAGUCAAAUGAAACGAGAGGUUGGGUGCUGGCGUCCUUGUCAUUCAGCCGUUCGCAUGUGCCAACCACGCCUCGUUCCAAACCGGUUUCCGCAUCGGCAACGACUCUCUGCUUCGGAUAUGAAUACCUGUGGAGUGCCAGCUAUAAGAACACAAGAUGCGGGCAAACAAAGGAAAAUGAUGAAUGAUAAGAGACCUGUCUGGGGCCUUCAUUCCGGACUGCGGCUGUGAACGUCAGUAUCACGACGUGCAUACCUAUACGCCCAUAUCUAAGCGAACUCGCGACGUAAUUCGAAGCUUUUCUUGUGAGCAGUCGUUUCGCUGCCGCAUGGUUAACGCUGAAGCGACUAAUAUCUGGACAUUUCUGGCAAGUUUCUGUCCUGGUGAGGAUUUCUAUGUGUGGUUUCGAAGCUACAUAAAUAACUUAGAAUCUAAACAAUUUGAAAAUAGUUUAGAAAUAAAGAUUUUUGGGGGAGCAGAUGUAGAUAUUUUAACUGUGGCCGACGUUGUUAGAGAAAAACCUAUUUUUGAAUGACAUUGUCCCCCCUUUUAUUCAUACAACAUUAAACAAAAAUACAGGUUCAAUAAAAUUUUUUUCAGAAGCAAAAGAAACUAGUACAAAAAUGAUUCUUUCUGGGGAGAGAGUUAAAUUAAGUGUUCAUCAAUUUAUUUUACUGCGAUUGAAAAAGGUAUGAGAUGUGCUAUUAGAGAAGGGGGUCUAGAGAUAUUUUUUUGUUGCACCUAGAUAUUUCAGCGAACUCGUUUCCCAUAGGCAUGCCGCGAUCUGUUGCUUUCUUCAAAAUUCACCAGACAACAUUGUGUCUCAUUAUGGCUGGGAGAUUACCUGGCCAUUUCCUGCACAUGUAGCGAAAAUUUCACGGUUUUGAGGCAGAAAAUGAGCUCCCCAAAUGGUGCCUGAUCAAACCACCAAGAACAGGCAAGAAGUCUCUGAUCUCUAGGGGGAAGUGAAAGUGGGGGAAGGCUGACUUCACGUUUUUCUACGAUUAUUCGCAUAUGUGUGGACACCCACAAUGCAUCUGUAGCUUUAUCAGUGUUUUAUAAUGAAGGCACGUGUAUCUUCACAAGUAGAGAUGCUUGUCGGGACAGUUGGUGAGAUCUGUAUUAGGGAGAGUUACAAGAACAUGUUUGGCAAAUGUUGAUGUUGUUCAUGAGGGCUACAUAGGUGCGUCUUCCAUCUUGCGUACAGAUACUUGUCAACUAUUACACAUGUUGUAGUUCAUUAUAAAUCAAUGAAGCUGUGACAAGGGCAACGUUUAACUGUUUUGCAUGAUGCGGUUGUAGCCAUUCGUUCCUUUCGGGCUGUCCGGCAGUACAGUAGAGGUUUCCAAAUACUUCUCACUUUCUGAAAGUUUUUGUGAAUUCUUGGCGUAGCCCUCCUCCGGAUGAAAUGUGCGCAUGUCCGCCAUGAAAAGGUGCCCCUCGAGACACGAGAUUGCGAGCUUGUUCAUGACUAUGUUUUUCCGGUCAAACUGGAGAUGACAAACACCAUAGUCAAGGUUUGUAUCCCAACUAAGUCUGGCAGCACGC
rnacentral:lncRNA from 1 species